rnacentral:rRNA from 1 species
UACAGAGGGUGCGAGCGUUGUCCGGAAUCACUGGGCGUAAAGGGCGCGUAGGUGGCGCUGCAAGUCGGUGGUGAAAGCUCGUCGCUUAACGGCGAGUCGGCCAUCGAAACUGCAGGGCUCGAGCACUGUAGGGGCUAAUGGAAUUCCGGGUGUAGCGGUGGAAUGCGUAGAGAUCCGGAAGAACACCGGAGGCGAAGGCGGCUUGCUGGGCAUUGUCUGACGCUGAGGCGCGAAAGCGUGGGGAGCGAACAGG